UACAGAGGUGGCAAGCGUUGUCCGGAAUCAUUGGGCGUAAAGCGCGUGUAGGCGGUUCGGUAAGUCCGCUGUGAAAGUCGGGGGCUCAACCCUCGGAUGCCGGUGGAUACUGUCGGGCUAGAGUGCGGAAGAGGCGAGUGGAAUUCCUGGUGUAGCGGUGAAAUGCGCAGAUAUCAGGAGGAACACCGGUGGCGAAGGCGGAUCUCUGGGCCUUACCUGACGCUCGAGGUGCGAAAGCUAGGGGAGCGAACGGG
rnacentral:rRNA from 1 species